rnacentral:rRNA from 2 species
UACGGAGGGUGCAAGCGUUAUCCGGAUUCACUGGGUUUAAAGGGUGCGUAGGCGGGCAGGUAAGUCAGUGGUGAAAUCCUUGAGCUUAACUCGAGAACUGCCAUUGAUACUAUCUGUCUUGAAUAUUGUGGAGGUAAGCGGAAUAUGUCAUGUAGCGGUGAAAUGCUUAGAUAUGACAUAGAACACCUAUUGCGAAGGCAGCUUACUACGCAUAUAUUGACGCUGAGGCACGAAAGCGUGGGGAUCAAACAGG